CAGCCGCCGCGGGAAUACGUAGGUGGCAAGCGUUGUCCGGAAUUAUUGGGCGUAAAGGGCUCGCAGGCGGUUUCUUAAGUCUGAUGUGAAAGCCCCCGGCUCAACCGGGGAGGGUCAUUGGAAACUGGGAAACUUGAGUGCAGAAGAGGAGAGUGGAAUUCCACGUGUAGCGGUGAAAUGCGUAGAGAUGUGGAGGAACACCAGUGGCGAAGGCGACUCUCUGGUCUGUAACUGACGCUGAGGAGCGAAAGCGUGGGGAGCGAACAGGAUUAGAUACCCGAGUAGUCCCUGUCUCUUAUAC
rnacentral:rRNA from 1 species